CACAACAUUGCUGAGGGCUCUUUCCUAGGAAAUCAAGAUCACCAGAUAGUGUAGUGGUAAAGUUUCAAAUUAAAACGAUUGUCAUGCGGUCAUGAUUAUUUGAGCAAUAUUUCAGAAAAUACGAAACUUCUAGGCCGUUAGCAAAACGAUGUGAAAUGAAAUCUGAACUAAAAUGUUCACCUGCCGGAAUCUCUUGGCUUAAAGAACAACUUUGCUGAAGAGAGCAAAUAUGUAGAUAAGAUUUCGAGAUACAGCAUCUUGAAUUCAUUAUUUUCUAGGUGAUGCUGGGUGUUACAAUACUUAUUGAAGCAAUUCCAAACUUUUGACGGGUAGUGUAUUAUUGUCUACUAUUUGCGCUUAGGAUAUUACCCGCUUUUGCGAAUUAGUAUGAAAAUUAUCAUAGUAAUAAUGUUAAUGUUAUGACAUCGUUUUGGAUUGUUCCAGAAAGACAUUGUGUAUAUUUAAAUAAAGUGCUAAAAACUGUACAUAUAAAAAGUACAUAUAAAAACUGUACUACAUCACAAGCUGGUGAAAAAUAAUAAACAAAGACGGCAAAAGUAAAUGGGAUUGUUUUCAACCAGGAAACUUCAUUAAUGUUCGUGCGACCGGUCGCAAAAAACUCAAUAAGGGUAUAAAGCAAAACACGCCUGUAGUGUAUAAGAUAUUGUUGGAAGAGAAAUAACUUAUCUAAACCCGAAAAUUAUAAGAAAUAUCAUUCCAAUAUUAGAAUAUGUGAGUAAAAAGUAUACAUUCCCACCUUAAUGAACCAUGUAUAUCGAUAUGAAUGUGCAUGCAACAGGGUAAGAACAAGUGGCUCCCAGUGACUAGUGCUUGAGAAAAAAAGUGAAGUAAAUAUGUAUCCGCGUUUUAAAUAGCAUCAUGCACUUUUGGUUUGACGUUGCAAGCUAAUGAAAGCAAGAGACAUUUUUUGGUAGUUUUAUUGAGCUUGAUCGUGUGAGGUGGAAAGAUGCAUUUGGAGAGCGGAAAAAACGACAGAAUAUCAAUGUAUGACGAUAAACAGUAAAACGGAAUUGGUAUUUUUGUUGCCUAGAUGAUGAAUGAGAAGAUGAAAAUACAAAUGAGAACAUGUUUGUUAAAGAUUUCUUGCGUUUUGACUGAAUGUUGAUUUGUGUUUGAAGGCACGAAUCAGGGUUGAAUUGUAUUGUAUUGUAUGUAUUAAAUUCGUGCGAGAGGACGCGAAUUAUGUUUGGAUUCGUGCGAGAGGACGCGAAUCGGAUGGAACAUGAUUAAAUUCGUGCGAGUGGACGCGAAUUAUGUUUGAAUUCGUGCGAGAGGACGCGAAUCAGGUUUCGAUUCGUGCGAGAGGACGCGAAUCGGAAGAAAUAUGUUCGAAUUCGUGCGAGAGGACGCGAAUUAUGGUUGGAUUCGCGUGAGAGGACGCGAAUCAGGUUUCGAUUGGUGCGAGAGGGCGCGAAUCGGAUGGAAUAUGUUUGAAUUCGUGAUGUAGUGUAUAAGAUAUUGUUGGAAGAGAAAUAACUUAUCUAAACCCGAAAAUUAUAAGAAAUAUCAUUCCAAUAUUAGAAUAUCUAUUUUUCGUCAGCCUAUCACAACUGCUUCGACUUGUAGUACUAGGUCACUAACAGCCAUGCAAAGUCUUUUUGGUCACAUUGGCCACCAUCAUCGGUUCCGGAAACCAAGUAUCCAAAUUCAGAAUAACAGUCACAUCGGUUUCUCGGAGAUGGCUUGACCGAAUCAACCAAACAUAGUCUCAAAUGAAAGAUGUUGCGUCCCCGUAAAUGGCUAUUAAAUUUCAUCACGAACCGACUGCCGGUUCCGGAGUUACGGGUUGUGGCGUGCGAUUACAUAGCAAAUUGUGAUUCAAACCGAUACUCCGAUGAAAGCAAAAAAGUUCUAGGUCACCGAUGGCCAAACAAACUUUCGUUGACUACAUUGACCACCAUAGACGGUUCCGGAAGUGCCCGGGCAAAGCGGCCAUCUUUCAAAACUAGCAAACUCAUCAGUUUCUCGGAAAUGGUUGGGCCGAUUUUCACAAACUUAGUCCCAAAUGCUAUAUUAUCCCCACAGAUGCCUGUAAAAUUUCGCACGGAUCGCUUUUAUGGUUCCGGAAAUACAGACUGAACCGUCCGGUCACAUAUAAAAUUCCCAUAUAAGCCGGAACUCAAAAUUUUUUUCAAAGGGGGGACCCCAUGAAAUUUCAGAAAUCGAAUUCGUAUUUUUGAUGCCAAACAUCUUUAAAAUGCACGAAACGUCGAGAUUUUAUGUUAUCACAAAAAAAAUUUUAAUGUAGAAUACAUUUAAGUUUUCAAUAUAGGGGUCCCGUUUCAAAAUAUCGGCUGCGGUGCCGCGUCAGUUUUUGAACGUUAAUAACUUUUAUCAUACUUAACAGAAUGAUUUGAUUUUUAGGCCAAUUUGUUUUAGGCCAAUGCUGUAUUAAAAUUUGAAGUAUGUAUAACAUGCACUAAUAACAAAAAAAAUGUGUUUUGAAAAAUCUUUCGAAAACGACUCGACUUGUUCCUAUGAUUAUUCGUAUUGGGUUGCUUGACGAGAGCAGUUGGUGGGGGAAAGACGGCAUAUUCCUUUGGUUAGGCCAUUAGAAGCCGGACGAAAAGGAAAGGCUCAUGCACGGCACGAGAACGAGCGAGAAAGCGAUAGUAGUGCAUAUUAGCGCGAUUAUAUAAAUAUCUGUCGGUCGGUUUUUCUCAUCAUUCGUAUUCGUUCAAGUACUAGCAAACAGCCAGUCCACCGGAGGAAAGCAGUUGGACGAAUGACGAAGGUCCGAAAAAGUGCCCCAGCUACUGGUGGCCCAUCGCAACCAACUACCGAUCAGGAACUGUCGCCAUGCCAGUAUUUCGCCCUAACUAAAGGGCAACGUUCAAGUACUAGCAAGCAGCCAGUCCACCGAAGGAAAGCAGUUGGCAAUGACGACGGUCCGAAAAAAUUAAGGGUUGUGUACAAGACACGACCACGAUGACAUUAAAAAUGCAGCCAGUUUUAUGAGCAAGCAAUAUUAUCCGUGGCCAAAUUAAAACUCCUUAGUGACUGUUUCAGAACUACACACAGGCAUGCUAUUCUUCACUAGAGAUAAUUGUUGAAUUUUUAAAUUAAAAUCGAUAACCUGUAGUGUGACAAAUUCAAGUUUAAAAAAAGUUUUAUUCAAAUCCACGAAAUGGGAACAUAAAUAAAUGAUGCUUACAAACAAAAGCUUACAUCUAUCUUUAAAUACCUGCUAUCAAAUUAAAUGCUUGCAAGCACGAUAGACAAAUAACUGGUCAUAACUCAAACUAUUCGUAAACGAAGAAAGUUUAACAUAUGUAUCUUUAUAUAUUCGGUGGUUUAAUUAACAUUAACUCUGAAAUGUUCUAUAUUUGGAGUCCAUUGGUGAAAUCCUGGAAAGGACUAUUUGUGAAUCCACAAACACGCGUGCUAUGGAAUGAAAAGUACUAAACUAACUAAGGGCUUUUGGUUUAACAAAAAUAACAUGCAGGAUGGAACAAUUAGUCAGCUGCAAAACAAGGUCUGCCUUCUCACGCUACUUACAUCAGAUAAAUAUUUCGAAAUAAAAAGAAACAACCUUUCCCUUCAGAAUCUAAUAUGAAAUACUGAUAGCUUGAAACGUGACAUCGGCUUUUAUCACUUUCGCACUGAUGAUGGAAGGACUACCUUCAUUCAGAACAACGAAAAAAUAUUUGCGGAUUUUUCACAUCCUCCGAUUUCUAUAAUAUUGCAGACUUUUGGGUUUGGUUUGAUUUUCGCCAAUUUGAGCAUGGCAAUAUACUUUUAAAUAACUGUACAUUUUUGUAUUGUUUCGGAAAGAUAAUUUUAAACAAAUCACAGAUUGUUGUAAAUUUCAGAUUGUCAAUGUACGCACAAGCAACAAGUAACGAAUAUAAACAGCGGAAUUGGGUUAUCGUUGUCAUUGUAAGGAAUUUUUCAAAUUUGUUCUUAAUUGUUAGUUAUAGCCCUGAAAAGGGCUUUUAAUUUACAAAAAUAACAUGUGAAAUGGAACAAUCAGUCAGCCGCAACAACGGUUUGCCGUCUCUUCCAGCCGCGCGCUACUUACAUCGGAUAAAUAAUUAAAAUUGGUAAGAAACAAACAACCUUCCCCUUCAACAGAUAAUUCGAAAUACUGAUAGUUUGAAACGUGACAUCUGCUUUUAUCAUUUUCGCAUUGUUGAUGGAAGGACUGCCUUCAUGCAGAAUAACGAACAAAAUUUUGCGGAUUCUUUUUGGUACGGCUUUCGCUAGUUGGCAGUGUUGCCACAUCCUCCAAUUUUCUGAAACAUUGCAGAAUUUUGAAUUAUGAUUCCGAAAAACUAUUUUUAAUAAAUCAGGUUUUCGCUAAUUUCAACCUGGAAAUGUACUUUAAGUAGCUGCACAUUUUUGUAUUGUUUCGGAAGGAUAAAUUUAAACAAAUAACAGAUUGUUGCAAAUUUCAGAUUGUUAAUAUACGCGCAAGCAACAAAUAACGAAUAUAAACUGCGCAAUUGGAUUAUCGCUGUUAAUGAUUGGAAAUAUUCCAAUUUGUUUUUUGUUUGUUAUUGUUAUAGCCCUUAAAAGGGCUUUUAAUUUAACAAUAAUAACAUGCAGAAUGGAACAAUUAGUCAGCUUCAACUGAGGUUUGCCAACUCUUCCCGCGCUAUUUACAUCGGAUGACUGCCAGCGGUAGCAGUGAUCAAAUGCAGCACUCAUCUCGCAGCGCAUUGUCAACAUGCAUGAUUGCUACUGCUGUUCUUUACGGCCCGUCGCUCGAGAAAUGAUAUUCUUUAAAUAGUCGAGAAUGACGUCAUUCAUAGAAGCGUAGUGUGCUGGGUGCUCAAAUCUAUCGUACGAGACGCUAUAGGCACGACGUUAUUUGUCUGGCAAAAGAGCAACAACUGAUUCAAACAGGCACACGGUACAUUUAUUUAUAACUUUUCGUGUUCGUUUGAAUUUCUAAGCUGCCCUCUGUUGACGGCGCUGCCGGGGAUAGAUUGACUGAUGUAUGGGAGUUUUCACGUUUUCGAGAUCUGUUCAUUUUUGCUUGUUUUUCAAUAGUGUACUAUUGAAAUACAAAAACACUAUAGCAAUAAAACAUAAUUUCAGUUAAUUCCGAAUUGUUUGGUGAUAACCAGACGGAAAUCCGUUCAUAAAUAACAAAGUUAUUAGCGUUCAAAAUAGUGACGCAAAAACGUGACAUCGUUUGAUUUUAGAUUUUAGAAUGACACCCUGUCCCAGAUAGUGCAGUAAGACAUUUUCAAUGUCAAAAGUGCCCCAGCUACUGGUGACCCAUCGCAACCAACUACCGAUGAGGAACUACCCUGAAAGAAUUUCGCCCCAACUAAAGGGCAACAGAGCAGCUAAUCUGUAGGCUAUCGUUCCAGCGUCUGGUUCGUGAGAUUGUACAGGACUGCAAAGUCGAGCUACGCUUACAAAGCUCAGCCGUAAUGAUGCCCCGAGAAGCCAACGAUGCCUACUUGGUCGGUUUGUUCGAGGAUGCAAAAUAGUGCGCCAAGCGCAUAACUUUCAGGCCAAAUACAUUAAACUGGCUCACCGUGUCCGCGGGGAGUGCGUCUGAAUUAUGCUCCCGCAAUAAAACAAUAAACGGUAUUUACAGGACCAAUUAAUUGUGUUCUAAUAAGAGUUAAACUGAAAUCUACAUUUUAUGGUGUAUAACAAAUAAUUUUCAGAAAGCUAUAUAAGAAAUAUGAUGUGUGGAAAGAAAGAAAGAGAAUUUAAAUUAUCCUCUCUCGCUCGUUUUCGUACACUGCUUUUCCAUUCCUUUCUGCUGCUAAUACCACCAUAAAAACGAAUGUGCGUAUUCCCCCACCAUCCCAUGGCCAGUAUCAGCGCUAACAAAUAAGACAAAAGAAUUUGAAUUUGUGAAAAUCUUUUUCUUCCUUCUUUUCAAAUCUGCAACAUUCUUUGAAAAUAUUGUUGGAAUGUUGUUAUUGAAAAACUGAACAUGGAAGUUUGCUAGCACUGGCCACCAGAUUGAAGGCGAUGGAAAGACAGAAUAUUCGUUUUGGUUAUGCUAGUAUUGGUAGUCGAACGGAAAGGAAAGGCACAGGAAUGGCACGAAAACGAGCGAGAGAGCGAUAGUAGUACUUUCUCGUGUGUUCAUAUAUAUUGGUCGGUUGGUUUUUCUCAUCAUUCGUAUUCGUUCGAGCACUAACAAGCAGCCAGUCCACCGGAGGAAAGCAGUUGGCAAUGAUGACGGUCCGAAAAAGUGCCCCAGCUACUGGUGGCCCAUCGCAACCAACUACCGAUCAGGAACUGUCGCCAUGCCAGUAUUUCGCCCCAACUAAAGGGCAACGGAGCAACUAAUCCGCUGGCUAACAUUCCAGCGUCUGGUUCGUAAGGUUGUGUAUUACUUCAAAGUUGAGCUACGCUUACAAAACUUAGCCGUAAUGAAGCCAGUGAUGCCUACUUGGUCGGUUUGUUUGAGGAUACAAAAUAGUGCGCCAAGUACGUAACUUUCUCGCAAAAGAAAUCAAACUGGCUCACAGUGUCCGCUGGGAGUGGGCGUAAAUUACAAUAAAAGCAACGGUUCUUUUCAGGAUCAAUCAAUUGUGUUCUAGUGAGAGUUAAACUGAAACUUUCAUUUUAAAAUGUGUAGCAAAUUUUCAACAAGCAACAUAAUACGUUGUGUGGAAAGAAGUAGCUUGCACACGGAACAAAAAUUUAAAUUAUCCUCUCGCUCGUUUCGUGCACUGCUUUUCCAUUCCUUUCUGCUGCUAUUAUCAGUAUAACCAAAACGAAUGUGCGUGUUCCCUCACCAUCCCUCUAGUGAUCAGUGUUGCUUCAAUUGCAUGUGUUUAAGAGAAACGUUGAAGUCGCAUGCUUCUAUUCGAGCUUUUUGGCAGCCUCCGUGAA